GCAAUGGCUGACUAGGGUUCCGGCUCGCCGUUCUCCACAGAGUGCGGCAAGUGACUGGUCCGAGAGUUGGCGACCUCGUUCGGGGUUACACGGCGGGAUAAAAGCCCGGGAGAA
rnacentral:sRNA from 1 species